UACACCAGAACAGACCAGAACACAAUCAAGUCCACAUGUUACUGAGCAGCCAUUAUGUUGUCUUCUCUGUGUAGGCUGAUCCUGAAGAUGGUGUUUCCUACGCCUCCAUCAGCUACACCAGGAAGACCAACAGUAAAGGCCGGGUUCUGGGUAAAGAUGGUGAUGAUGAAGAUGAUGCAGUGACCUACAGCAGCGUGAAAGCUUCCUCUUCUUCUGCUGGAGCCUCAGCUGAUCCCAGCGACCUCUACGCCACCGUCAACAAACCAAACAAAUAAGAGACCACAGUGUAGUUACAGCUCAUAUCAUUACAGCAGCUGCUACAGUAUCACCAUAUUGCACCAUGGACAUCAGGAGUCAGAUUCUGGUGGGAGAGGAGUUUGACUCUUCACCUGUCUGUUCAUGUGUGCUGUCAAACAUCACCAUGGAUCCUGUCUGUUUUCUAAUAAACACUAUCUGAAGAAAACAAGUUGCAUCAUUGCAAACAUUUAUCUGAACUAACAAUCUUCAC